ACCCUGUAUGACACAGAAAAAAAGCACAGGUCCUAGGGGUCGGGUGGGGCUCGUUCGGGGUGCACAACGUUUGCGCCAAAAACGGUCCAAAAAUGGCCAAGGCUUUACCAUACGAAAAAUCGUCCGAUUUUUAGCCAUGAGAAAAACGACCCGAAAAUUCACAGAUGACUACUAGACGGCCUCACUUUGAGUAAUAUUAAAGUUUUUUCCCACAAAAACCGCUCGGAGAUGCCCAGACUCAGUUUUUAUUUUCGUCCCACACUUUUCUUCCAAUGGUUGAGUUGUGUUUCUUUGAUCUUGUGCAACCUAUUUAGACCGAUGAUAGGCCGCGGAUAGGUGUGGAAACCCAUCUACAUUGCACCCUGUAUGACACAGAAA
rnacentral:lncRNA from 1 species